rnacentral:rRNA from 1 species
AGAGUUUGAUCAUGGCUCAGGAUGAACGCUAGCUACAGGCUUAACACAUGCAAGGUCGAGGGGCAGCAUUGGAGUAGCAAUACUUCAGAUGGCGACCGGCGCACGGGUGAGUAACACGUAUCCAACCUGCCGCUUACUCGGGGAUAGCCUUUCGAAAGAAAGAUUAAUACCCGAUGGUAUAAAGAGUUCGCAUGUUCUCUUUAUUAAAGAAUUUCGGUAAGCGAUGGGGAUGCGUUCCAUUAGAUAGUUGGCGGGGUAACGGCCCACCAAGUCUACGAUGGAUAGGGGUUCUGAGAGGAAGGUCCCCCCACAUUGGAACUGAGACACGGUCCAAACUCCUACGGGAGGCAGCAGUGAGGAAUAUUGGUCAAUGGACGAGAGUCUGAACCAGCCAAGUAGCGUGAAGGAUGACUGCCCUAUGGGUUGUAAACUUCUUUUAUAAGGGAAUAAAGUGAGGGACGUGUCCCUUUUUGUAUGUACCUUAUGAAUAAGGAUCGGCUAACUCCGUGCCAGCAGCUGC